rnacentral:rRNA from 1 species
GAUCCUGGCUCAGGAUGAACGCUAGCUACAGGCUUAACACAUGCAAGUCGGAGGGGAAACGAUAUUGGAAGCUUGCUUCCGAUAGGCGUCGACCGGCGCACGGGUGAGUAACGCGUAUCCAACCUGCCCACCACGUUGGGGAUAACCUUGCGAAAGUAAGACUAAUACCCAAUGAUAUCUCUAGAAGACAUCUGAAAGAGAUUAAAGAUUUACCGGUGUAAGAUGGGGAUGCGUUCCAUUAGAUAGUAGGG